CACCUGUUGGCGCCAGAAAACAAACUUAGAGUAGCUAAGUAGUUUGCUUGCCUUUAUAGCUGGUCCCGUUGAGGAAAAAAUGUCAAGCACAAGUUCAGAACAUUAUGCAACUCCUAGAAUUAAGGCGAUUCUCUUUGUAGCAGUCCUGCAAUAUAAUAAAAUACUUGUAUGCAUAUCAUAAUACAGAUGAUCAUAAAAUGUUUAAGCAAAAACCUGAAUAUCUCCAACCUAAACUGAGCCAAGUUGUAAUCAAUUCGUAUUGCCAUGAGCCCAUGUUUACUCACGUGUAGAGUUUGAAAAAUAAUGCAAGUCACAUAUCAGAAGCAUAAUAAUGAUCUUUUAUCUUGCUGAGUUACAGCUAGCUAAGGCUCUCUCUUGUUUUAUUGUCUGUUUUGCUUGUGGGACAUUCAGCCAGCUUAAGUCUGACUGUAAACAUGUCCUUAACGGCUAGUGUGUGAAUUGAAUAAUAAUGUGCUCUUCCAAAUUCUUCAUGCACAUUAAAACUCAAUAUAUAUUUCCUUACAGAUUCCCUUUGGAAGGACUCCAUAGAUGAGAAGGUUGAAUUCUAUAGGAAAUGACUGCAAGAUACCCAAAUCAAAAAGUAUUUAUGAAAUAGUUCAGAUUCGGACAAAAAUAGAGGAAACAACAAAAGGAUAUAUAUGCGAUAUCAAAAAGAGAUUUCUGUACUGCAGGCUGCUUGGACAUGCAUGUUCAUGGUGAAUAAAGCAAGUAUACUAUAACUAAGAGAAUAUUUCAAAGGCAAACUUAUAGGUCAUAUCAAUGCAUUGUAUUUGUUUUUUCCUUUGACUGAUCCACAAGGAAUAGUGGUAAUCAAGGAGGGUACUCUAGAAUCAUGGAGGAAAUCAAAGAGCAAUUAAUAUUCAUAUGUAUGGAGCAAUGAAUAGUUUGUUGAUUGUAACAGUGAUAUGGAGAUGCUAAAGAAGCUCCACCAUGACUUGUAGCCAAGUUGCUCCAUCAAGCUUGGAUAUGUAUGUAUGUCUGGAAACUGAAAUUGGAAAUUCUAAGCUCUUAAUUAGAUAAUCAUUAAUUAAUUAAUUAGUUGAGUGACACAAAAACACAACUACAAAGAAUUCAUUAAUCAAACAAGCAUACACACCACUAUUUCAUAUACUCUCCAUCAAGCUCUAACUUCCUUUAUGGCUUACCAAAUUAAUUAACAAAACCCUAAACUUCAAGAACCACGUUCGUCUUCAGAAAUAACCUAGCUAAUACAUAAACACAAGCACAAAAGGGUUGUUUUUGAAAGCAGUACUAUGAUCAUAACCAAUAUAUAUGACAUGAAGGACUAAUUUCGGCGUUCUUACAUCUAUAUAUAUAGAUGCUAGUUCCUGUACGUCUCACAGUGUGUUAACAAUAAAUGGGAAUUCCAAAUAGACUCCUUGUUUCGAAUCAGAAAAUCUUAGAUCCAACUAUUUCAGGUGUGUGUAUACAGUCAUUUAUGGCUGAUGCAGCAUCAUCAAGAUUCUCACCUUCAAAGAAAUACAUUGCUGUCUAUCUAUCUAGCUAGCUAGCUGCCGUACAUCUGUUUGAGUGUGAAUCUUGAUGAUGCUGCACCUGCAAACAAUGACUUUUGAUGUCGAUCCAUGUUCCAUGCAUAUUGGAUAGUGUAAGAGAACUAAAGUAAAA